AUGCAUAACAUAAUUUGUCCAUGUGCGUUGCCCCAUGCUAUAUCCAUUUUUUCUUUCUAUGCUUGCACAUGUCUGAAGUCCAGACCUAGAGUGCUGCUUUUCAAUAUGUUGGCUAUGCAUGCAUGUAAUAUGUGUUGUACAUCUAUUUUAGUAGAGGAUUCACUGUAUACUUUUCACAUGCCAUUUCCAACCUCUUUGGAAGCAUAUAUGUCAACCUGCUAUAUUACUAUAUUUAUAUAUUUAUUAAUUUGGAACAAUUUCUGGGUAUACGAGGAUGUACCAAGUCAGACAGAACUAAUUCGUCAACCCAAGUUAGUUGCACAAUCAGACCUGAUUUCUAAUAGACUUUAA
rnacentral:rRNA from 1 species